AAUGAACGCUGGCGGCAUGCCUAACACAUGCAAGUCGAACGGCAGCACACUAAGAGCGUGCGCUUACGGAUGGCGGGUGGCGUACGGAUGAGGAGUGCAUCCUGAUCUUCUCUUUCGGGGAACAUAACGUAACGAAACCUACUCUAAUACAGCAUACGACGUACCGGGGAGGGUAGGGGAUCUUCGCGCCGUUCGCGGAUGAAUUAGCCGAUUUCGGAUUAGCUAGUGGGGGGGGUAAUGACCCACCAAGGCGACGAUGGGUAGCCGGUCUGAGAGGCUGGUAGGCCACCUUGGAAGUGAGACAAGGUCAAGACUACUACGGGAGGGAGCAGUGGGGAAUAUGAGACAACGGGGGAAAGCAUGACACAGCGAUCCCGCGUGGGUGACGAAGGCGUUCGGGUUGUAAAGCCGUUUUGUUGGGAAAGAAAAGCAGUCGCCUAAUACGACGCUGUUCUGACGGUAAUGAAUGAAUAAGCACCGGCUAACUACGUG
rnacentral:rRNA from 1 species